AAAAUAAAUAUAAUGAGAAAACAAGGUUUAAACAAGUUCCACAAAGUUUGAAGCAUCCACAUUGGGGGUUAUUCGAGUUGAUAUACACCAAAAGAUGUAAUAAGGUGAAAAUUCGAGUAAAUUGUUGGAUAUUAAACGAGAUAAACAUGUUUUGACUCAUAAAUGUUAUUGAUUAUGUGCCAAAUACUUGGUUCUGGAAAUAAUUUGAAAAAUAAUUUAAUUCAAAAAAUGGUAUAUUAAGACAAUAACAGCAAAGUUAAUGUUGAUCCAAUUUGUUGGGGACUGAAAAAAUGUUGUUUGAUAAGAAAGUAUUGUGUAUUGUAACUAAGAAUUUGUUAUCAAGGCAAAAUUAAAAUAGAAUUUGUUAAGAUAUUACAAAAUUUCAAGCUAAAUGAUUCACCCUGUAUAUAAAACAAUUAAUGUUUCAGUUUUAAUUGUUGAAUUAUGAUGUAUUUGUAUGACAAAAACCUUGUUGCAGUAAAUAACUUUUCCAAGUAAUUAAUUUGACACAAUAGAGAGAUUAUUUUGAGAUGGAUCAACUUAAUUUAAUUAACAAACACCUUUCAAUGCGGAGAAAUUUAAAAAAAUAACCUUUAAAUUAAAACCUUGAAACCUUAUUGUUGAGUUUAUAAUUAAUAGAAGGUGUAAUAAAUAAAAUUACGAAUUUAAGCCAA